UACAGAGGUCUCAAGCGUUGUUCGGAUUCAUUGGGCGUAAAGGGUGCGUAGGCGGCGAGGUUAGUCGGAUGUGAAAUCCCAGGGCUCAACCCUGGAACUGCAUUCGAUACUGCUUUGCUUGAGGACUGGAGAGGAGAUUGGAAUUCACGGUGUAGCAGUGAAAUGCGUAGAUAUCGUGAGGAAGACCAGUGGCGAAGGCGGAUCUCUGGACAGUUCCUGACGCUGAGGCACGAAGGCCAGGGGAGCAAACGGG
rnacentral:rRNA from 1 species